UGCAGCCUUGUCAAAUUUGGGUCCCUAUGGCUGCCACAUAAAACUACAGUUCAUGGGCCCCAGGUUUUUGUUGUUUGACUGGGGAUAAAAGCAUGCUACAAAUUA